rnacentral:rRNA from 1 species
GGAUUAGAUACCCUAUUAUUUUAGAUGUAAAGUAUUUAAACUUGAGUAGUAGUAGUUAAGGACUUGAAACUUAAAGAAUUUGGCGGUAUUUUAGUCUAUUUAGAGGAAUCUGUCCCGUAAUCGAUAAUCCGCGUUGGACCUUACUUAAUUUAUUAAAUAUGUAUACCGCCGUUGUUGAAAAUCUUUUUAGAGUUAGAUUUUCUUAAUAUUUAUUAGAGAAAUUUUCAGGUCAAGGUGCAGUUUAUAAUUAAGUGGAGAUGGAUUACAAUAUUUAAUAAUAUACGGAUUAUUAUUUGUAAUAUAUAGUAAUAUGAAGGUGGAUUUAAUAGUAAUGUUAUAAAGAUUAUUAAUGUGAUUUUAGCUCUAAAAUAUGUACACAUCGCCCGUCGCUCUCGUUAUGUUUCAGAUGAGAUAAGUC